rnacentral:rRNA from 1 species
GUGAACGCUGGCGGUAGGCCUAACACAUGCACGUCGAACGGCAGCACCGUAAGAGCUUGCUCUUACGGGUGGCGAGUGGCGGACGGGUGAGGAAUACAUCGGAAUCUACUUUUUCGUGGGGGAUAACGUAGGGAAACUUACGCUAAUACCGCAUACGACCUACGGGUGAAAGCAGGGGAUCUUCGGACCUUGCGCGAUUGAAUGAGCCGAUGUCGGAUUAGCAAGUUGGCGGGGUAAAGGCCCACCAAGGCGACGAUCCGUAGCUGGUCUGAGAGGAUGAUCAGCCACACUGGAACUGAGACACGGUCCAGACUCCUACGGGAGGCAGCAGUGGGGAAUAUUGGACAAUGGGCGCAAGCCUGAUCCAGCCAUACCGCGUGGGUGAAGAAGGCCUUCGGGUUGUAAAGCCCUUUUGUUGGGAAAGAAAAGCAGCAGGUUAAUACCCCGCUGUUCUGACGGUACCCAAAGAAUAAGCACCGGCUAACUUCGUG